CAUGCAAGUCGAGCGGUAGAAAGUAGCUUGCUACUUUGAGAGCGGCGGACGGGUGAGUAAUGCGUGGGAAUCUACCUGGGUAUGGGGGACAACAGUUGGAAACGACUGUUAAUACCGCAUACGCCCUACGGGGGGAAAGCGGGGGAUCUUCGGACCUCGUGCUAUCAGAUGAGCCCGCGUGAGAUUAGCUAGUUGGUGGGGUAAAGGCCUACCAAGGCGACGAUCUCUAGCUGGUCUGAGAGGAUGAUCAGCCACACUGGGACUGAGACACGGCCCAGACUCCUACGGGAGGCAGCAGUGGGGAAUAUUGGACAAUGGGCGCAAGCCUGAUCCAGCCAUGCCGCGUGUGUGAAGAAGGCCUUCGGGUUGUAAAGCACUUUCAGCGAGGAGGAAAGGUUGUAGCUUAAUACGCUGCAGCUGUGACGUUACUCGCAGAAGAAGCACCGGCUAACUCCGUG
rnacentral:rRNA from 1 species